rnacentral:rRNA from 1 species
UUUGAAAUCUGGCGUCUUUGGCGUCCGAGUUGUAAUUUGAAGAAGGUAUCUUUGGGCCCGGCUCUUGUCUAUGUUCCUUGGAACAGGACGUCACAGAGGGUGAGAAUCCCGUGCGAUGAGAUGACCCGGGUCUGUGUAAAGUUCCUUCGACGAGUCGAGUUGUUUGGGAAUGCAGCUCUAAGUGGGUGGUAAAUUCCAUCUAAAGCUAAAUAUUGGCGAGAGACCGAUAGCGAACAAGUACAGUGAUGGAAAGAUGAAAAGAACUUUGAAAAGAGAGUGAAAAAGUACGUGAAAUUGUUGAAAGGGAAGGGCUUGAGAUCAGACUUGGUAUUUUGCAUGCUGCUCUCUCGGGGGCGGCCGCUGCGGUUUACCGGGCCAGCAUCGGUUUGGAGCGGCAGGAUAAUGGCGGAGGAAUGUGGCACGGCUUCUGCUGUGUGUUAUAGCCUCUGACGAUGCUGCCAGCCUAGACCGAGGACUGCGGUUUUUACCUAGGAUGUUGGCAUAAUGAUCUUAAGUCGCCCGUCUUGAAACACGGACCAAGGAGUCUAACGUCUAUGCGAGUGUUUGGGUGUAAAACCCGUACGCGUAAUGAAAGUGAACGAAGGUGGGGGCCCAUUAGGGUGCACCAUCGACCGAUCCUGAUGUGUUCGGAUGGAUUUGAGUAAGAGCAUAGCUGUUGGGACCCGAAAGAUGGUGAACUAUGCCUGAAUAGGGUGAAGCCAGAGGAAACUCUGGUGGAGGCUCGUAGCGGUUCUGACGU